AGUGAACGCUGGCGGUAGGCCUAACACAUGCAAGUCGAACGGCAGCACAGGAGAGCUUGCUCUCUGGGUGGCGAGUGGCGGACGGGUGAGGAAUACAUCGGAAUCUACUUUUUCGUGGGGGAUAACGUAGGGAAACUUACGCUAAUACCGCAUACGACCUACGGGUGAAAGCAGGGGAUCUUCGGACCUUGCGCGAUUGAAUGAGCCGAUGUCGGAUUAGCUAGUUGGCGGGGUAAAGGCCCACCAAGGCGACGACCCGGAGCUGGUCUGAGAGGAUGAUCAGCCACACUGGAACUGAGACACGGUCCAGACUCCUACGGGAGGCAGCAGUGGGGAAUAUUGGACAAUGGGCGCAAGCCUGAUCCAGCCAUACCACGUGGGUGAAGAAGGCCUUCGGGUUGUAAAGCCCUUUUGUUGGGAAAGAAAUCGAGCUGGUUAAUACCCGGUUGGGAUGACGGUACCCAAAGAAUAAGCACCGGCUAACUUCGUGCCAGCCGCCGCCGUAA
rnacentral:rRNA from 1 species